CACCCAGUAGCACACGGCGUGCCCCUGCCUCGGCCUAUCAAAGUCUUCUGUCUAUGCAGGCGAUCCCCGUUCGAUUCGGGGCUGGGUGA